AACGAACGCUGGCGGCAGGCUUAACACAUGCAAGUCGAGCGCCCCGCAAGGGGAGCGGCAGACGGGUGAGUAACGCGUGGGAAUCUACCCAUCACUACGGAACAACUCCGGGAAACUGGAGCUAAUACCGUAUACGUCCUUCGGGAGAAAGUUUUAUCGGCGAUGGAUGAGCCCGAGUUGGAUUAGCUAGUUGGUGGGGUAAUGGCCCACCAAGGCGACGAUCCAUAGCUGGUCUGAGAGGAUUAUCAGCCACACUGGGACUGAGACACGGCCCAGACUCCUACGGGAGGCAGCAGUGGGGAAUAUUGGACAAUGGGCGCAAGCCUGAUCCAGCCAUGCCGCGUGAGUGAUGAAGGCCCUAGGGUUGUAAAGCUCUUUCACCGGUGAAGAUAAUGACGGUAACCGGAGAAGAAGCCCCGGCUAACUUCGUGCCAGCCGCCGCCGUAAUAC
rnacentral:rRNA from 1 species